UGCAUGUCCCCCUCCCCCUACCCACCCCAUCCCCUCUCCCCCCAGCACCAGGGCCUUGAACUCAACGCUGCCCAGCUUGGAAAGUGCCUUCUCCCCCCAGGACCCUCAUCAGAGCCUCCCAGGCAGCCUCUGGGGGUCCCUGUGGAGCACCUAGGGUCUGGGGCAUGAUGAGGCUGAACGACUGCCAACUGGGACGUGGGGCCAACUGGGAUGUGGGGCAGGAGUUCUGUCCCCCAAGAGACCCCUGCCCAGGCCAGGCCAGUCAGGGCUCUGGCCCAGGGAAGGAGGGGAGACGCCAGCCAGGCCGGGAGGAACUGUCAGCACAGCCCCUCUGUCCACCCAGGUUUGAGACAGGCACUGGCCUCAGACCCGGGCCACACUGAGGUCUGCCCUUCUCCUGCUGGCCGCUGCCCGGGACACCAUGAGCCAGUCCGGGGCUGUGAGCUGCUGCCCGGGUGCCACCAACGGCAGCCUGGGCCGGUCCGACAGUGUGGCCAGGAUGAGCCCCAAGGACCUGUUUGA
rnacentral:lncRNA from 1 species